rnacentral:rRNA from 1 species
CGCUGGCGGCGUGCCUAAGACAUGCAAGUCGAAUGUGCUCGCAAGAGUAACAUGGCGAACGGGUGAGUAACGCGUGGGAACUUCCAUUAAGUUUGGGAUAUCCUUCCGAAAGGGAGAGCAAUACCAAAUGUGGUCGCAAGACUAAAGAUUUAUCGCUUAAUGCAAGGCCCGCGUCCCAUCAGCUAGUUGGUAGGGUAAAAGCCUACCAAGGCUAUGACGGGUAGCGGAACCGAGAGGUUGAUCCGCCACACUGGGACUGCGACACGGCCCAGACUCCUACGGGAGGCAGCAGUUUGGAAUUUUGGACAAUGGGCGAAAGCCUGAUCCAGCGACGCCGCGUGCACGAUGAAGGCCUUCGGGUCGUAAAGUGCUUUUAGCAGGGAAAAAUUUUUGAUUGUACCUGCAGAAUAAGAGGUUGCUAACUCUGUGCCAGCAGCAGCGGUAAUACAGAGACCUCAAGCGUUAUCCGGAACCAUUGGGCGUAAAGCGUACCGAUAGGUGGUUUUUCAAGUCUUUAGGUAAAAGCCAGAAGCUCAACUUCUGAGUUUGCUUAAGAUACUGUAAAACUUGAGGGGCAAAGAGGUGCUUGGAACGAACGGUGUAGUGGUGAAAUGCGUUGAUAUCGUUCGGAACACCGAAAGCGAAGGCAGAGCACUGGGUGCCUCCUGACACUGCUAGGACGAAAGCGUGGGUAGCGAAUGGGAUUAGAUACCCCAGUAGUCCACGCUGUAAACGAUGAAUACUAGGCAUGCGCGAGUAUCGACCCUCGUGCGAGCCGUAGCUAAACGCGUUUAAGUAUUCCGCCUGGGGGAGUACGG